CCUACGGGUGGCAGCAGUGGGGAAUAUUGGUCAAUGGGGGGAACCCUGAUCCAGCGACGCCGCGUGAGUGAUGAAGUUUUUCGGUAUGUAAAGCUCUAUCAGCAGGGAAGAAACUGACGGUCUCUGACUAAGAAGCCCCGGCUAACUACGUGCCAGCAGCCGCGGUAAUACGUAGGGGGCAAGCGUUACACGGAUUUACUGUGUGUAAAGAGAGCGUAGACGGUGUAGCAAGUCAGAUGUGAAAUGUCGUGGCCCAACCCCAGAACUGCAUUGGAAACUGUUGAACUGGAGUACAGGAGAGGUAAGCGGAAUUCCUAGUGUAGCGGUGAAAUGCGUAGAGAUUAGGAGGAACACCAGUUGCGAAGGCGGCUUACUGGACUGUAACUGACGUUGAGGCGCGAAAGCGUGGGGAGCAAACAGGAUUAGAUACCCCUGUAGUC
rnacentral:rRNA from 1 species